CCAAUAGCGUAUAUUAAAGUUGUUGCAGUUAAAAAGCUCGUAGUUGAAUUUCGGGAUCAGUACGUUGGUCAUGCCUUGGUAUGUACUGGUGUCACUGAUUCCUCCCUUCUGAAGAACCGUCAUGCCAUUCACUUGGUGUGGCGGGGAAUCAGGACUGUUACUUUGAAAAAAUUAGAGUGUUUAAAGCAGGCUCGCGCUUGGAUACAUUAGCAUGGAAUAAUGAAAUAGGACGUUAAUCCUAUUUUGUUGGUUUCUAGGAUCGACGUAAUGAUUAAUAGGGAUAGUUGGGGGCAUUAGUAUUCAAUUGUCAGAGGUGAAAUUCUUGGAUUUAUUGAAGACUAACUACUGCGAAAGCAUUUGCCAAGGAUGUUUUCAUUAAUCAAGAACGAAAGUUAGGGGAUCGAAGACGAUCAGAUACCGUCGUAGUCUUAACCAUAAACUAUGCCGACUAGGGAUCGGAUGAUGUUAAUUUUUUAAUGACUCAUUCGGCGCCUUACG
rnacentral:rRNA from 1 species